rnacentral:rRNA from 1 species
AACAUCGCUUCUUGGGUGUUUAAGAAGUCUAGCCUGCCCACUGAUGAAAUUAAAGGGCCGCGGUAUUUUGACCGUGCAAAGGUAGCAUAAUCAUUAGUCUUCUAAUUAAAGGCUGGUAUGAAUGGUUGGACGAGGUAUUAGCUGUCUCUUUGAGAUUAGGUUGAAUUUAACUUUCUAGUGAAAAGGCUGGAAUAGAAUUGGAGGACGAGAAGACCCUAUAGAGCUUUACAUUUUUCUUUGUUUUAAUUCAUUUGGUAGGAGUCUAAUUUUAUGGAAAAAGUGUUUCGUUGGGGUGACGGGGAGAUAGGAUAAACUCUCUUUACAAAAGAAUCAUAAAUUUAUGUUUAG